rnacentral:rRNA from 1 species
AUUGAACGCUGGCGGCAUGCCUUACACAUGCAAGUCGAACGGUAGAGGGGGCAACCCCUCGAGAGUGGCGAACGGGUGAGUAAAGCAUCGGAACGUGCCCAGUAGUGGGGGAUAGCCCGGCGAAAGCCGGAUUAAUACCGCAUGAGACCUACGGGUGAAAGGGGGGGAUCGCAAGACCUCUCGCUAUUGGAGCGGCCGAUGUCAGAUUAGGUAGUUGGUGGGGUAAAGGCCAACCAAGCCGACGAUCUGUAGCGGGUCUGAGAGGACGACCAGCCACACUGGGACUGAGACACGGCCCAGACUCCUACGGGAGGCAGCAGUGGGGAAUUUUGGACAAUGGGCGCAAGCCUGAUCCAGCCAUGCCGCGUGCGGGAAGAAGGCCUUCGGGUUGUAAACCGCUUUUGUCAGGGAAGAAAUCCUUUGAGCUAAUACCUCGGGGGGAUGACGGUACCUGAAGAAUAAGCACCGGCUAACUACGUGCCAGCCGCCGCGGUAAGAC